GGAAUAUUGGUCAAUGGAGGCAACUCUGAACCAGCCAUGCCGCGUGCAGGAAGACAGCCCUCUGGGUCGUAAACUGCUUUUAUUCGGGAACAAACCUACUUACGUGUAAGUAGCUGAAUGUACCGACGGAAUAAGGACCGGCUAACUCCGUGCCAGCAGCCGCGGUAAUACGGAGGAUUCAAGCGUUAUCCGGAUUUAUUGGGUUUAAAGGGUGCGUAGGCGGCUUAAUAAGUCAGGGGUGAAAGACGGUGGCUCAACCAUCGCAGUGCCCUUGAUACUGAUGAGCUUGAAUACACUAGAGGUAGGCGGAAUGUGACAAGUAGCGGUGAAAUGCAUAGAUAUGUCACAGAACACCGAUUGCGAAGGCAGCUUACUAUGGUGUCAUUGACGCUGAGGCACGAAAGCGUGGGGAUCAAAC
rnacentral:rRNA from 1 species